rnacentral:rRNA from 1 species
AUACGGAAGGUCCAGGCGUUAUCCGGAUUUAUUGGGCUUAAAGGGAGCGCAGGCUGAUGAUUAAGCGUGACGUGAAAUGUAGCCGCUCAACGGCUGAACUGCGUCGCGAACUGGUUAUCUUGAGUGAGUUCGAUGUUGGCGGAAUUCGUGGUGUAGCGGUGAAAUGCUUAGAUAUCACGAAGAACUCCGAUUGCGAAGGCAGCCAACAAGGCCUUUACUGACGCUAAAGCUCGAAGGUGCGGGUAUCGAACAGGAUUAGAUACCCUGGUAGUCCGCACGGUAAACGAUGGAUGCCCGCUGUUUGCGAUAUACUGUGAGCGGCCAAGAGAAAUCGUUAAGCAUCCCACCUGGGGAGUACGCCGGCAACGGUGAAACUCAAAUGAAUUGACGGGG